rnacentral:rRNA from 1 species
UGGGGAAUUGUUCGCAAUGGGCGCAAGCCUGACCCAGCAACGCCGCGUGGGGGAGGAAAUCCUUCGGGAUGUAAACCUCGCAAGCAAGGGAAGAAUGCCCGAGACUUAAUACGUUUCGGGAGGGACGGUACCUUGCGUAAGCCACGGCUAACUACGUGCCAGCAGCCGCGGUAAUACGUAGGGUGCGAGCGUUGUCCGGAAUUAUUGGGCGUAAAGGGCUCGUAGGCGGUUUGUCGCGUCGGGAGUGAAAACGCCGUGCUUAACACGGCGCUUGCUUUCGAUACGGGCAGACUAGAGGGAUGCAGGGGAGAACGGAAUUCCUGGUGUAGCGGUGAAAUGCGCAGAUAUCAGGAGGAACACCGGUGGCGAAGGCGGUUCUCUGGGCAUGUCCUGACGCUGAGGAGCGAAAGUGUGGGGAGCGAA